rnacentral:rRNA from 1 species
GAUGAACGCUAGCUACAGGCUUAACACAUGCAAGUCGAGGGGAAACGACAUCGAAAGCUUGCUUUUGAUGGGCGUCGACCGGCGCACGGGUGAGUAACGCGUAUCCAACCUGCCCAUCACUUGGGAAUAACCUUGCGAAAGUAAGACUAAUACCCAAUGACAUCCCACGAAGACAUCUGAAUGUGAUUAAAGAUUUAUCGGUGAUGGAUGGGGAUGCGUCUGAUUAGCUUGUUGGCGGGGUAACGGCCCACCAAGGCAACGAUCAGUAGGGGUUCUGAGAGGAAGGGCCCCCACAUUGGAACUGAGACACGGUCCAAACUCCUACGGGAGGCAGCAGUGAGGAAUAUUGGUCAAUGGGCGAGAGCCUGAACCAGCCAAGUAGCGUGCAGGAUGACGGCCCGAUGGGUUGUAAACUGCUUUUAUAAGGGAAUAAAGUGGGUCUCGUGAGACUUUUUGCAUGUACCUUAUGAAUAAGGACCGGCUAAUUCCGUG